GGAAAAGAAACUAACAAGGAUUCCCCCUAGUAACUGCGAGUGAAGCGGGAAGAGCUCAAAUUUAAAAUCUGRCGGUCUCUGGCCGUCCGAGUUGUAGUCUGGAGAAGUGCUUUCCGCGCUGGACCGUGUACAAGUCCCUUGGAACAGGGCGUCAUAGAGGGUGAGAAUCCCGUCUUUGACACGGACYACCAGUGCUUUGUGAUGCGCUCUCAAAGAGUCGAGUUGUUUGGGAAUGCAGCUCAAAAUGGGUGGUAAAUUCCAUCUAAAGCUAAAUAUUGGCGAGAGACCGAUAGCGAACAAGUACCGUGAGGGAAAGAUGAAAAGCACUUUGGAAAGAGAGUUAAACAGUACGUGAAAUUGCUGAAAGGGAAACACUUGAAGUCAGUCGCGUCGGCCAGAACUCAGCCUUGCUCUUUUGCUCGGUGCAYUUUCUGGUUGACGGGCCAGCAUCGAUUUUGACCGUUGGAUAAAGGUUGGGGGAAUGUGGCACCUUCGGGUGUGUUUAUAGCCCUCGGYCACAUACAACGGUUGGGAUCGAGGAACUCAGUACGCCUUUGUGGCCGGGGCCUGUCCCACGUACACGUACUUAGGAUGCUGGCGUAAUGGCUUUAAAUGACCCGUCUUGAAACACGGACCAAGGAGUCUAACAUGCCUGCGAGUGUUUGGGUGGAAAACCCGAGCGCGCAAUGAAAGUGAAAGUUGAGAUCUCUGUCGUGGAGAGCAUCGACGCCCGGACCAGACCUUCUGUGACGGAUCCGCGGUAGAGCAUGUAUGUUGGGACCCGAAAGAUGGUGAACUAUGCCUGAAUAGGGUGAAGCCAGAGGAAACUCUGGUGGAGGCUCGUAGCGAUUCUGACGUGCAAAUCGAUCGUCAAAUUUGGGUAUAGGGGCGAAAGACUAAUCGAACC
rnacentral:rRNA from 1 species